CACCGACAGGGCGACCACAAACGAUAGUCAAUCUGUAUCCAGGACAUCCAGGAACAGCACCAAUUCAACUAAAAAGAAGAAGGCAAAAAGUAAAGGAGCACGGAAUAACCAACGACAGCAUUCCGUACCUACUGUCACUUCGCCAUCAACGUCUGCCACACAUGUAGAAACAACAGUCACCACAGGGCCACACAGAACUACGCAGAAUUCUGCACAACGAAACCCUAGCACUUCCCUUCCAAAACCAUCAGCUCAAGGAGGCCUUCUACUCAGAACAACGUCUACCCCUGUGCCACUCAACACAGAGUCCCCUGUACA